UAGGCCUAACACAUGCAAGUCGAACGAACCCUUCGGGGUUAGUGGCGCACGGGUGCGUAACGCGUGGGAAUCUGCCCUUUGCUUCGGAAUAACAGUUAGAAAUGACUGCUAAUACCGGAUGAUGUCUUCGGACCAAAGAUUUAUCGGCAAGGGAUGAGCCCGCGUAGGAUUAGGUAGUUGGUGGGGUAAAGGCCUACCAAGCCGACGAUCCUUAGCUGGUCUGAGAGGAUGAUCAGCCACACUGGGACUGAGACACGGCCCAGACUCCUACGGGAGGCAGCAGUGGGGAAUAUUGGAGCAAUGGGCGCAAGCCUGAUCCAGCAAUGCCGCGUGAGAGAGGAGGCCUUCGGGUCGUAAGCUCUUUUACCAGGGAUGAUA
rnacentral:rRNA from 1 species